UACGUAGGGUGCGAGCGUUGUCCGGAAUUAUUGGGCGUAAAGAGCUCGUAGGCGGCUUGUCGCGUCGGAUGUGAAAGCCCGGGGCUUAACUCCGGGUCUGCAUUCGAUACGGGCAGGCUAGAGUGUGGUAGGGGAGAUCGGAAUUCCUGGUGUAGCGGUGAAAUGCGCAGAUAUCAGGAGGAACACCGGUGGCGAAGGCGGAUCUCUGGGCCAUUACUGACGCUGAGGGGCGAAAGCGUGGGGAGCGAACAGG
rnacentral:rRNA from 1 species